rnacentral:snoRNA from 1 species
AAUUCAUGGUGUGGACAGUCUCUCUGAUAAGACUUGAAUCUGAUCCAAGAGCUUCUGAAUGAUUCUGCAGACUCCUGAGUGAAUGUAGAAAUCUUGUUCCUCAAGUC